UCUUCGCUCAAAAAUAUCUCCCCGCGUGGAUUGCUAGGGUUGUCGCCGCCGCCGCCGCCGCCGCCGCCUCACCCCUGUUGGUCCAUCACUGGAGAAGGGAGAAGGUGAACAGGAGAAGAUGCAGGGUGGCCUCGCCGGAGCGCCGAUGGCCAUGGAGGACGACCAGCUGGCCUCCAUGUCCACGGAGGACGUCGUCCGAGCAUCCUGCCUCCUCGACAACGUGAUCCACGUCCUCAUGCCCCUCGUCGAGUAGCUGUGCCGUGAGGGUGCUUGCCUCUGAAGCCCCAUCCAUUCAGAAGGAUGAGGAGAUCCGACACCAGCCACGCACCAGCUUGUGUGUAGGUCUCGUGGAGAUGAGAAGCUGCUCCGGUCCCAUCUUCUGAAGGAGGAUGCCCACCAUCCAAGGUGCUCAACAUCACCAUCGUCUGUUGCCUGCAAGGACACACAUAACCAAGAAGUGUUGCCUUUACUGAAGCUUCUUGACUCAAAAAAUGGUUCUCUGUAACAUAAUCCCGCGUUUGUUCUUUACGGAGUUGCGAACAAUGAGG